rnacentral:tRNA from 1 species
CAGGCUGAAGCUUUAUUGAAGCAUUUUAUUUACAUUAAAAUUAUUGUUUUUGACACGGUUUGA